rnacentral:lncRNA from 1 species
AAACAGACUACUGCUACUUACAGCACCGUAUAGCAGCCCUGCUCCUACAUUUUGCUGCCUUACUCUGCCCCGAAUGCAUGGGACUGGGGAUGUUCCGUCAUUAACUAUAAACUGAUUCUCAUCAGGAUCACUUCAAAGGUCUCAUCAAGCAGAGGUGACGCCAGGAGAUGAUUUAAAGGUGAAAAUGACAAGGUUUCCACCCCUCAAACCUUGGCUCCUUUUCUGACAAUACAGGCUGAAUGAACCUGAUGUCUUCUUUACUGUGGAAAUAGCAUUGGAAGAGAAAAACAUAUUUUUUUUUAAAUCCUGAUAAAGAAGAUUAUUGGGAAGCUCUUAAAAAAAAAAUCUCCAGUUGUGCACAGAUGGAUUUUAGAAAGUGUUAGAGCUUUCCAAUGAACACUAAUAGAGUACUCUGCUCUUGGCUGGAUCUUUCAGGUAAGAAGCCUCUUUAAGGAUUUAAGAUUCAGAAAGCAGAUUUGUAACCUAUUCAGUCAUAUCUAGAGAACUGUGUAAGGCUGGAUGCAUUAUUUAGUGGAAAACACCUAUUAACAUAGAGACAACCUCUUGGUGAGAGAGUGAGCAAGGAGAGUGAUAUGCAGGAACCUUGCUUGGAAGUGAUACUGAGAAUUGAAGAAAGUUAAAUUAAAAAAAAGGGAAAAGAAGGAAAAUACUGCAAAUGUGAAGUCACAGCAAUCUUUUUAGGUGCUAAAAGCUAUGAAGGUGAAGAAAUGAGCAAGAGAAAGCAGAGUCAUUGAAAAACUGUUAAGUUUUGAUUGUGGUAGGCUUUUUUUUUUUUAAAGUUUAGAUGAAUUCCUAGUGCAUUUUAACUGAAAUUCGCAAGUAGUCCAUGCAUGCCACAGUCACCUCUAUUUUGUCUUUCUAUCAUUUGGAGGGUAUUUUGAAAAGGCCCCUAAACGCAUUCCUAAGAUUCGCAGAAGGGGUGUUGCUAUUUAUCUCUUUUGAAGAGAAUGCAUCUAUGUUAUACUGAUUGUUCUGAAGACAAUGAGGCUAAAUCUGUUGUGUACAAAAGUAAACAGCGGGCAGCGAAACUAAUUAUAAAGUGAAUGGUCCAUCUGAAACACAGAGUGAGGCAUGAAAGGCACCAUGCUGUUGCAAAUAAUGUUUUCCUACUUUGCACUUAAUUAUGGUUGUCACCAUUUGUCUAUUAUAGUCCUUAACCCCCUUUUAAAGACUGCAUCUCUCUCCUAAAGCCCAGAAAUUAUCUUGUAUUAUGUCUGUAUACACACAUACAUACAAUGUAUAUUCCUGCUUUCUGAACAUCACAGUUUUUGAAAGAGUGCCAAUUUCCAUGGAUAAAGAAACCACGCUGGGAGGUCACUAGCAGAUUUUGAAUGUAUAGUUGAAAUACUUAUAGUGUAUAAUUUAACAGUGGAAAAAUUCUUAAAAGGAACAAUCCGGUUUGCAAAGCUCUCUAAGAGAAAAAGAAUAUACUUAACUGGAUUCUCGUGUAGAAAAUGCUUCCAUAUCACUGGCUGAGUAAGGACGAUGCUUCAAGUUUGAUUAAUUUGGCAAUAUGAAAUGCAGCAUAAGGUGUUGUUUGAGAAAUUGGACAAUAUGCAGCGCAGUUGAGCCUCUGUAGCUCUAAGAUCUUUAUAGGUGCAGAUAAGACUGUCAAAGUUUCAGCGCCUGAGAAAAGGUAUAUGUUCAUCCAUAAAUACAUACACCACCUGUGUAUGCAUAUUCAUCAACACUAUACAACACAUGCCACAAUGGGAUCUUGGGAGGCAAAGUAAUAUUGUAAAUUAUGGCUCGCUCUAGGAUAGAAGCAUAGAUCUUGCAUUU